UAUUGCUUUGGCAGAUUAGUGCUUUAAAUUUAGAAUUUAAAUAUGAAUGUUUUAAUUCAAGUAAUA
rnacentral:tRNA from 1 species